UGGGAUGGACAUGUAGAUUAAGGAAGAGA
rnacentral:piRNA from 1 species